AUUGAACGCUGGCGGCAUGCUUUACACAUGCAAGUCGAACGGUAACAGGCCGCAAGGUGCUGACGAGUGGCGCACGGGUGAGUAAUGCAUCGGAACGUGCCCAGUCGUGGGGGAUAACUACUCGAAAGAGUGGCUAAUACCGCAUACGAUCUAUGGAUGAAAGCGGGGGACCGUAAGGCCUCGCGCGAUUGGAGCGGCCGAUGUCAGAUUAGGUAGUUGGUGGGGUAAAGGCUCACCAAGCCAACGAUCUGUAGCUGGUCUGAGAGGACGACCAGCCACACUGGGACUGAGACACGGCCCAGACUCCUACGGGAGGCAGCAGUGGGGAAUUUUGGACAAUGGGCGCAAGCCUGAUCCAGCAAUGCCGCGUGCAGGAAGAAGGCCUUCGGGUUGUAAACUGCUUUUGUACGGAACGAAACGGCUCUGGUUAAUACCCGGGGCUAAUGACGGUACCGGAAGAAUAAGCACCGGCUAACUACGUG
rnacentral:rRNA from 1 species